rnacentral:rRNA from 1 species
GUGUCAGCCGCCGCGGUAAUACGUAGGUGGCAAGCGUUGUCCGGAUUUAUUGGGCGUAAAGCGAGCGCAGGCGGUUUCUUAAGUCUGAUGGGAAAGCCCCCGGCUCAACCGGGGAGGGCCAUUGGAAACUGGGAGACUUGAGUGCAGAAGAGGAGAGUGGAAUUGCAUGUGUAGCGGUGAAAUGCGUGGAUAUAUGGAGGAACACCCGUGGCGAAGGCGGCUCUCUGGUCUGUAACUGACGCUGAGGCUCGAAAGCGUGGGGAGCAAACAGGAUUAGAUACCCUUGUAGUCC